UUCCAGAUGCUCUCAAGCUGGGCCAGUGGCCAACUGCAGAACGGAGAGUGGCCGAGCAGGGAAGGUCAUAGAAGGCACAGGAUGGGGAAGGACACUGGAGACCAGGUUCCUGUAGGGAAAGAGAUGCCAUGCUAGUCUGAAUCUACUGGGACAGCUCUGUAUCUGAGGCCUGGGUGCAAGGCAACUUGGCUGCUGAAUUAGGGAAGAGAUAAAAGAAGAAUAAGAAUGGUCUGUCUUAUUUUUUUAAGUUGUAGGCGUGUGGGAGGAUUACUCUUCCUGGCCCUGUUUAAGUGAGGUCUGGCCAAG
rnacentral:lncRNA from 1 species